GUGAUGCAGCUGAAGCAGAGAGGGAUGGGAUGUGUUGGGAGGGAGUAGGAGGAAGAGGUAUAGGAGGAGGAUGGACGUCGGAAGUUACUUUGAGUGUAGAAGGAAUGAGAGUAGAGAGAUUGGAGAAUAGUUGAGGUGUAGGGAUGUGAUUAGAUUGUCUUUAAUGUCUUCAAGAGUUUUUGCAGUGGAGUUGUUUUGGGAGUUCUGAGAAACAAAGGUUUUCUUAUGGGGGUGAGGAGAAGAGGGGACAGAUGUUUGAGGGGUGGAGGAAGAGGUUGAUAAAAAAGACAGGGUAGAGCACUUAGCUUAUCUUGUGCAAUGAAAUGUGUGAUGAGGAAGAGGGCUAGGUGCCAGGGAAGUAGUGAUUGGAGUGCCAAGAAGAGUGGAGAAGAUUGGGGUGUCUGAAUUUAGAAUGGCAAAAUGAAUUUGACUGGGAAGUGGAGGGGAUAGAAGUAGGAUGAAGAAGAGAUGUAGAAAGAUUCUGGGAGGAAAGGGGAGUGGUAGAGUGACUACUGGAGUAGGGAUUGAGAGAGAAACCUAGUUGACGUGCUUCCUAUCUGACUUCACAUAGAGUGAGGCCAAGUCUGAAUCUGAGAGUUGCCACUUCAGACUCAAACUUGUAGGUGGGGCAGCCCUUUUAAAAUAUAUUAUGGGAGCUGCCACAAUUGGCACAUGCACAUGAUUGUACAGAGCAGUUUGAUCGAUUAUGACCAGCUUGGGCACAUAGAGGGCAUCUGGCAGUGGAAUGGCAGUGUUUGGCAAAAUGUCCUAGAUGCCAACAAGGUGGGGAGGUUGAUAUGGUUAGACGAAGGUAUUCUCCAUCAAUGUAAACAUUAAAGAGGUGGUCAUGUGUAUGGAAAUAUUCUUAUAUUGCUGGGGGACCUACAUUCACCUCUAGGGAGAAUGGUGUAGUAUUGUACUGAUAAUGCAUCAUAGUCCAUGAGGCAGGCAAGUAAGUCUUCUGUUGGGGAGAUGGAGAUAAUUCCACUACAAGUAUUGAGGGUAGGAUGAGUUUGGGCUGGAAUAGGUUUGCCAAUAAAGUCUGUCAGUGUUAACAAUGCUUUAGCUUGAGUUUCAGACGUAACUGUAACAAGAUAGGAAUGAUCAGGGCAACUGCGGAAGGAAACUUUGCCUACUUGUUUUAGGAGACAUUGCUGGAAGAUGAAUGUGUUGUCAGAGUAAGGAGCUGUGGGGGGGAGGAUCACAAAAAUCGGUCCAUUUGACUUGGCUAAAUAGAGUAUUUAAGAUGAUUGUAGAAGUAGGAGUAGUAGAAGGACAAGGGUAUGUGGAAAAGGGAGUCGUGUUGAGAGAGGUAGUAUUGCAGAGAGGUGGACAGUAAGGUUGUAGUGUAGUAACAAGGGAGGAUGGGGUAGUUAGUGAAGUAGAGGAUGUUGGGAGAGGUGGUUAAGUAUUGACCUGGGUGGAUGAAGUGAAAGCAGGCAUGGAGGGGAUAGAAGGAGCAGUGUUCAGAGUCAUGGUCAAAGGAGAGCCUGCAGCUAGGGAACCAGAAUAAUUUGAAUCAGUGGGGCUAUCUGAUGAAGUGGUAAGCCCUAUUUCCCCUAAUAAUGCUAUCAUCUUCAUUCUUGGCUAUGGUAACCUAGAGUAUAUUGGGGAGAAAAACAGUCCAUUCAGCAGGGUCCCUUUGAGGGGUAAAGGCUAAACACCUAUCUAGCAGCAUACCACGCUCAUGGCUCCGCCGUUCAUGAGUGGUACAAAGUCAGCCUUUUAUUCUUUCAACAAGGCUCUCACACCUUAGGAAAUGGAUAACAGAAGGGGUUGGAGAAGAGAUGGGAUUGGUGGGACAUAUAUAUACAGGUAAAUAAUAAAUAUCCAUAAUAUAUUAAUACACAAACACCUUACAGGGGAUGAAAAACAGUCACAAAAAUCUUGUGAAACACUUUCAUUCUUGCAUUAUUCAAUAAAGCCGCUGAAAGCAUACAAUGACUCAUUAUACAACCAAUCCAACCUUUCUUAUCCAAUAUAAACUGGAUACUGUUAAUAGUUAUAUUAAAAGAAGCCUUUGAAAAAUAAUAUAAUUUUAUAUGUAUUGUCUAUACAUGAGAAAAAUUUAUAUUUUACCAAAGCAAUUUUUUGGUUCUGUGGAAAAGGGGGAAAAAAAGCAUUGAUAAAAUAAUUUAAAAAAUCAUGAAUAAUCAAUAUUCAUUACUAUACAUUCUGUAUUACGGCUUGUCAAAUAUAAUAUUCCAUACAAUUUUCACUCGCUGUGACUAGGUAACAGCCUCACAGAGUAUACCCUUCAAUGACCAACAUGUAACUUCUCUGUACACGAUCAGAUAAUAUAUAUCUUUUCCAGAACUUUGAAGUACAGUUGCUUUCUUGCCACUGGUGUAAACAACACUGUCUCCUUAUUAGUUAAUUCAAUUAGCACCACUGAUGCUACCUUACACCUAGAGAAAAGAUGAAGAAAAUAUAUAUGUUCUAUAGAAGACACUGCUGGAUAUUUGUAGAGGACUAGUUCUUUGAAUACUGUAUAAAGAAACAUGAGCAAGUAAAAACUAAAAACUAAAAAAAAAAAAAA